CGGGAGGCAGCAGUAGGGAGUAUUGGGCAAUGGGCGCAAGCCUGACCCAGCCAUGCCGCGUGCAGGAAGAAGGCGUUAUGCGUUGUAAACUGCUUUUAUAGGGGAAGAAAAAGGCCAUGCGUGGCAAACUGACGGUACCCUAUGAAUAAGCACCGGCUAACUCCGUGCCAGCAGCCGCGGUAAUACGGAGGGUGCAAGCGUUGUCCGGAUUUAUUGGGUUUAAAGGGUGCGUAGGCGGCUUUUUAAGUCAGCGGUGAAAGACUGUCGCUCAACGACGGAACUGCCGUUGAUACUGAUUAGCUUGAGUUUGAUUGAGGCAGCCGGAAUGGAUAGUGUAGCGGUGAAAUGCAUAGAUAUUAUCCAGAACGCCAAUAGCGUAGGCAGUUGCUAAGUCAUUACUGACGCUGAGGCACGAGAGUGCGGGGAUCAAACAGGAUUAGAUACCCCUGUAGUCC
rnacentral:rRNA from 1 species